GACGAACGCUGGCGGCGUGCUUAACACAUGCAAGUCGAACGGAAAGGCCCUGCUUUUGUGGUGUUCUCGAUUGGCGAUCGGGUGAGUAACACGUGUGUAUCCUGCCCUUCUCUUUGGGAUAUCUUCAGGUAACUGGGGCUAAUCCCGGAUAGGAUCUCCUGCUCCUUGGUGGGCGUUGGAUCGUUUCGGCGGUUGGGGUUGGAAUGGCCGGUUAUCAGCUUGUUGGUGGGGUAGGGGCUUACCAAGGCUUUGACGGGUAGCCGGCCUGGGAGGGUGAACGGGCACAAUGGGACUAAGAGACGGCCCAGAGUGCAACGGGAGGCAGCAGGGGGGAAUAUUACAGAAUGGGCGGAAGCCUGAGGAAGCAACGCCGCGUGCGGGAAGACGGCCUGCGGGUUGUAAAAAGCUGUAGACUGAGACGAAGAGGGAGUGACGGUAAUGGGUAAAGAAGCACCGGCUAACUACGUG
rnacentral:rRNA from 1 species